AUUGAACGCUGGCGGCAGGCCUAACACAUGCAAGUCGAACGAGUGGCGGACGGGUGAGUAAUGUAGGGGAAACUGCCCGAUGGAGGGGGAUAACUACUGGAAACGGUAGCUAAUACCGCAUACCAUCGGAUGUGCCCAGAUGGGUUUAGCUAGUAGGGGGGGUAACGGCUCACCUAGGCGACGAUCCCUAGCUGGUCUGAGAGGAUGACGAGCCACACGGGAAUUGAGACACGGCCCAGACUCCUACGGGAGGCAGCAGUGGGGAAUAUUGCACAAUGGCGGCAAGCCUGAUGCAGCCAUGCCGGUUGUAUGAAGAAGGCCUUGGGGUGGUAAAGUACUUUCAGCGAGGAGGCGUUACUCGCAGAAGAAGCACCGGCUAACUCCGUGCCAGCAGCCGCGGUAAUUC
rnacentral:rRNA from 1 species